AAUUAUUAUGACAGCUCAGGCUGGUAUUCAGGUACCUGUUACGACCUCCCUCGGCAUCCACUUGGGCACUAGUUUUAGGUCAUUGAUGGGUGUGAGAACUCCCUCUAGGUUGCCAAACAUGGAGGAGAGGCCCAAGCUGAAGAGCAUGACGAAGAACAAUAAUGCCCAUACCUGAGAGCCUGGCAUCUCUAUCACUGCUUCAGUGAACACGAUGAAAGCCAGGCCGGUACCUGACGCGCUCUGCGGGAGGAAGAUGAAAGACAGGCAAGAAAGUAAUGAGGAGGCGUGAACUGACACACACGUUCGACCGGCGGUGUACACUGCACUCUGGGACAGAUGAGGGAGGCAAGAGCAGUGGACAAGUCGGAUUUAAGGGAGGAGGGAAAUUUUUAAAAAAUGAGACUGUGUGUUUUCAAACUUACAAUACCUGGUCAAGGAAUUUUUGCAGAUCACAGGUCCUCAGGGACAAAUUGGCCACCCCAUCUGGAGAUGUCUCGUUUAAAUAGUUAAACCAGUAGUCAUAGUUUUCACGAGUUAUGUUCUGGUCUGAAAACUCAAAGUGGUUGGUCAGAGCCAAGAUGUUUCUGCACAUGGGACACAAAAAAGAUUUACCUUACUGGCAUCGGCAAGAGAAAAAGAAGCGUUAGAGUUAGAGAGAGUGUUUGUGCGCACGUACUCCUCUAGACAGGAGUUGAAGACGUUGGUAGCUUUAAAUCCCAGGAUGGAGAAGAUGGAAAUGGAGGCGUAGAGAGAUGUGGCGCUAUUUAUUACUCCGACGAGAACAGCGUCCCUCUCGCAGUUGUUUCUAAAGGACGCAGAAGAGACAAAACAGCUUUGUAAUUGAUCACACAAAUCAUCUGAAUCUUACUGAGGGAGUGGAUGAGUGUCAGCCCUUACUUCUGUGGAUUAUAACUGGAAAAAGCUAUGAGACCUCCAAAGGCCACAGAGAGAGAGAAGAAGAUCUGGGUGGCAGCGUCCAGCCACACCUGAGGGUUCUUCAGUAUCUCCCACUACACAUCAGAACAACAAAAACAACACAUCAGAUCAUUGUGUCUGGGACACAUAAUACAAUCUUACAUCACCCGUAUUGGACGGAAGUGACCAAACUCACAUCAGGCGUGAAGAGAUACACCAGCCCAUCGGUAGCUCCAGGCAGAGUAAGGGCACGGAUCAGGAAAAUAGUCAGCACCAGGUAAACAGACCUUUCCCAUGGACUCGAUGCCUUUGAUGAAGCAGAUGUAGACCACGCACCAGGCGGUGGCCAGACAGACGACCAACCACCACUGCAUGGAGCCACUGAUCUCAAUGUCAGGCCACCCACCGACUCCACCCAGUGCCGGUGAGAUGGAUUUCCAGACACCGAUGCUGCCCAUGCGGAGCCUCUGUCCAAUAGCCAGCUCCAGGUAGAGCAGAGGGAGGCCCUCAAACACCAGCGCUAUCAGAUAGGGGAUGAGGAAAGCACCUGAAGACAUGAAGAAGACAUUUAAGUCACAGUUAGACAUCAGACAGACCAGUCUGUCUUUAUCAGCAUUCUUAGCAGAGACAUUUUAAAAUAAGGUCGCGACUUUUUGAAACAUCUUAAUAAAACAAACACCAUCUGCUUUUACUUAUCCUAAUCAAGCCUUAUCAAGCAAGGUUUUCAGGGCUACAAUAUAAGACCUCUAAAACCGAAAGACAUUUAGACAGGAGCUGAUCACUGGAAUUUUUUUUGUGGCUUCCAAGUGGCCAAAAACGCAUGUGGUUGUUUAAAGCAGUUCUGCUUCAUAUAACACAGAUCUGAGGCUGAAGGUACUAAGAAUAAGGUGACCGAUUGAUCGUAAAGCUGAGGUCAAAUAGAGACUCAUCUGAAUGUAACAAUGCCUGUGGGAAUCAGGAAUCCCAGAGUCAAUAUGUGAUGUUGAGAGACUCUGUGUACAUUUAAGGGACUGGCUGUUGACAGAGCUUAACUCUGGCCCAGCUUGUUUAGGAUCGUUUUGGGACUCAAGCUAUGUCACUGAUAAGUAAGUGGAAGUAAAUACAGGAAUUGGGGCAGUAGAGCAGAAACUAUGCCUGAUGUUUGCUGUGAUCCAUCAAACAUAGAUAAGGUUCAACAUUUCCAGAGCACAGUGACAAUCACUGACCUCAUUCAGUUGUCAAUGACUAAUAACACUGAGACAGACAGAGAAACUAGAGUGAAGAUUAAUUAUUUUAUCCAUGAUUGGAUAACAUAGCCUGAAAUAUUUCUAGGAAUACUGUAAAAUAAGCGAUAGGAUACUUAUCAUUUUUUUUAACAGCACACUUAAAUGAUAAAGACGAGGAUGAUGUAAGGUUUGGGAAACAUAAUGCAGCUCACCUCCUCCGUAGAUUUGGCAUAGGUAAGGAAAACGCCAGAUGUUUCCAAGUCCUACUGCAAAGCCAAUACAUGUUAACAAGUACUGAAACUUGUUGUCCCAUUUCGGUCUCUCCUCCACCUCAGAGUCAUUUUUUUCACCCAUCCUCACUAGGCAGAAAGGCGUAGCACAAGUCCAGUUCUGUUACAAGGAUGCAGCUCUCCUAAGCCUAACAUGCACCUCAAUCAGGUACACUAGUAUUGUUUUUAUUUAUUCCAGAGGUUCUCCACCUGAUCCCAGCUCAGUGUAUGUCAGAAUAAACACCGUCUUGAGUGGCUUAGGUUAAGUGAUGUCCACUGCUUGUCUGUCCUCCUCUGUCUAACUCUGGGCCGUCCUUCAGCGUCUUAUCAGGUGCAGCUUUGAAUGGGACAAACAGAUUUUUAUUGCUUUUUAUAAAGAAAUUAGGCCACCAGGAAGGAAGUGAAAAGAUCAAGCCUUUAGUGGUUAAACCUCUCUGCUUGUUUUAAAUGGGAGUGUGCUAUGCUUUGAGUAAUGGAUAACCAGGUGAUGCUGUUUCAAUGUUACAUUGACGAAAGUGAACCGUUUGAAUGCAGUUAAUCAAAAAAUACUUGACAGCUGUAUCUGUGUUUUGCAAAGAAUGGAAAUACACAGCUUAAAAAAACAUUGAAGCAAAAAGAAGUAAUUACAAUUUAAUGAAACAGUAACAAUAGUAAAAUAAAUAUGCUAACUUUAUACAAUAAGAAGUAAGUCUGAUCUAAGAGAUCAGUCAGUAACAAUAAAUCCCUUGAAGCAAUAACUGUAGCCUGUGGUGUAGCUUAAUGAGGUUUUAUGUUAUUUGUACAUUGA